rnacentral:rRNA from 1 species
CAGUCGCCGCGGGAAAACCGAGGGUGCAAGCGUUAAUCGGAAUUACUGGGCGUAAAGCGCGCGUAGGUGGUUUGUUAAGUUGGAUGUGAAAUCCCCGGGCUCAACCUGGGAACUGCAUCCAAAACUGGCAAGCUAGAGUAUGGUAGAGGGUGGUGGAAUUUCCUGUGUAGCGGUGAAAUGCGUAGAUAUAGGAAGGAACACCAGUGGCGAAGGCGACCACCUGGACUGAUACUGACACUGAGGUGCGAAAGCGUGGGGAGCAAACAGGAUUAGAUACCCCCGUAGUCCCUGUCUCUUAUAC